CUGAAAAUACGCCACACUUUUCUUUCAAGUGCCCAAACACUUGAAUGAUUCAAUAAAGGCACAUCUUAGACCUAAUUUGUUUGUGUUUGAAUUUCAAUCCAAUCCAUUAUCAAAUUCAAGUGUUUGAGCGAUUGACUUUUUUGCAUUUUUUGACAACUUAUUUUCAAUCGGGUGACUCAAACUUUUCAAGUGUUUUGCUCAUGAAUUUGCCCCACUGUGCUGAACUAUUCAAAGUGAUGAGGAAAACACUUGAAAUUGAUCUUGUUUUGAUUUGAAAUGCAGUUUCGUGACAGCUUCGUCGGAAUUUGCUUCGUUUCUUCAUUUGUGUUUUGGCGGUCCGGUGUGUUCGUUUUUCGCAGGCUCGAAUGGCCGCGUGAGGUCGCUGCCGCCAUGUUCCUGUCCAGUAAAUUGCCUGCCCGGUUUGUGAUCGCGAAGACGAGCAUCGCCACAAGGCUGUGUCCUCGGGGUUCAGGAUCCGUCUGGCCAGCAGAAAGGCUCGGUCUCCCGGACCCGAAAAGAGGCCAAGAUAGAGGUACUUUUCCGUAUAUUCACCGACUUGGAAAAAUGCGAUUGAGCUGCAGAUGCUGUGCCAGGAAGCGUUUGAUGAAAUUAUGGAAAACACCCGCCGGGCGCUUGAGAAUCGGUGUCGGUGUGGACAAGAAGCGGUGAGAAGCAGGAUUCGAAUGCAUUCCACCCAGGGGCCAAGCAAUCCGUCAUUCGGAUGGUAAAGGCACAGUUUGAUUCGAUGGAACCAAUCGCGGUUCCGAAUCAACAAGAAGAUUCCCCGGGGGCCUCCACCUCCACAGAAAGCGGUGGUGGCGAACAACCCGCACCUGACCAGGAGGACGAUUCUGAAAGCAGGUACAACCGGAAGAAAAGACAAUUUAACAACGAAAAAAUAAUCAAUUUUUGACAAGCAAAGUUGGUAGAAAAUAAAAGCUGUCAAAUUAAUUUCAUGACGCAACUUC